rnacentral:rRNA from 1 species
UACGAAGGGGGCUAGCGUUGUUCGGAAUUACUGGGCGUAAAGCGCGCGCAGGCGGUCUUCCAAGUCAGUGGUGAAAGCCCGGAGCUCAACUCCGGAACUGCCAUUGAAACUGUUGGACUUGAGUACGAGAGAGGUGAGUGGAAUUCCCAGUGUAGAGGUGAAAUUCGUAGAUAUUGGGAAGAACACCGGUGGCGAAGGCGGCUCACUGGCCCGGUACUGACGCUGAGGUGCGAAAGCGUGGGGAGCAAACAGG